UACGGAGGAUCCGAGCGUUAUCCGGAUUUAUUGGGUUUAAAGGGUGCGUAGGUGGUUUGAUAAGUCAGCGGUGAAAGUUUGCAGCUUAACUGUAAAAAUGCCGUUGAAACUGUCGGACUUGAGUGUAAAUGAGGUAGGCGGAAUGCGUGGUGUAGCGGUGAAAUGCAUAGAGAUCACGCAGAACUCCGAUUGCGAAGGCAGCUUACUAAGGUAUAACUGACACUGAAGCACGAAAGCGUGGGUAUCAAACAGG
rnacentral:rRNA from 1 species